rnacentral:lncRNA from 1 species
UGGCGACAUCAUAAUUAUAAUGUCGAUCGAUGUAAUAAUCUGAAGCCAUGCACCGAGGAACACGAUGAAGAAGUACAAAUAAAAGCGUGUGGGGAACAUACAUAUAUUGCGUGAGGUUGGGUUUAGUAAUGUAUGUGGCUAGUGAUCAUCAAUGAAUCCGUCUGGAGUCAGGACUGAAGUCACCGAGUCAGUGUAUAUAUUCAUUAUUCAAACUUCAAACUCAUGUCCUUUCCUGCGGCUAUGAAG